UGCAGUCGACGACUCUGGUAUUGAUUGGUGCUUGCAUCAUGAUUUACAUUUGAGUGAGUGGCGAACUGGUGAGUAACACGUGGGAAACCUGCCCAGAAGCGGGGGAUAACACCUGGAAACAGAUGCUAAUACCGCAUAACAACUUGGACCGCAUGGUCCGAGUUUGAAAGAUGGCUUCGGCUAUCACUUUUGGAUGGUCCCGCGGCGUAUUAGCUAGAUGGUGGGGUAACGGCUCACCAUGGCAAUGAUACGUAGCCGACCUGAGAGGGUAAUCGGCCACAUUGGGACUGAGACACGGCCCAAACUCCUACGGGAGGCAGCAGUAGGGAAUCUUCCACAAUGGACGAAAGUCUGAUGGAGCAACGCCGCGUGAGUGAAGAAGGGUUUCGGCUCGUAAAACUCUGUUGUUAAAGAAGAACAUAUCUGAGAGUAACUGUUCAGGUAUUGACGGUAUUUAACCAGAAAGCCACGGCUAACUACGUGCCAGCAGCCGCGGUAAUACGUAGGUGGCAAGCGUUGUCCGGAUUUAUUGGGCGUAAAGCGAGCGCAGGCGGUUUUUUAAGUCUGAUGUGAAAGCCUUCGGCUCAACCGAAGAAGUGCAUCGGAAACUGGGAAACUUGAGUGCAGAAGAGGACAGUGGAACUCCAUGUGUAGCGGUGAAAUGCGUAGAUAUAUGGAAGAACACCAGUGGCGAAAGGCGGCUGUCUGGUCUGUAACUGACGCUGAGGCUCGAAAGUAUGGGUAGCAAACAGGAUUAGAUACCCUGGUAGUCAUACGUAACGAUGAAUGCUAAGUGUUGGAGGGUUUCCGCCCUUCAGUGCUGCAGCUAACGCAUUAAGCAUCGCUGGGGAGUACGCGCAGCUGAACUCAAGAU
rnacentral:rRNA from 2 species